rnacentral:rRNA from 1 species
GACGAACGCUGGCGGCGUGCUUAACACAUGCAAGUCGAACGGAAAGGCCCUGCUUUUGUGGGGUGCUCGAGUGGCGAACGGGUGAGUAACACGUGAGUAACCUGCCCUUGACUUUGGGAUAACUUCAGGAAACUGGGGCUAAUACCGGAUAGGAGCUCCUGCUGCAUGGUGGGGGUUGGAAAGUUUCGGCGGUUGGGGAUGGACUCGCGGCUUAUCAGCUUGUUGGUGGGGUAGUGGCUUACCAAGGCUUUGACGGGUAGCCGGCCUGAGAGGGUGACCGGCAACAUGGGGAAUGAGGGAGGGCCCAGUGGCAAAGGGGGGACAGAGGGGGGAAGACUGGCAAAGGGGGGGGGGGCCUGAUGAGGAAACGCCGGGUGGGGAAGGCGGGCUGGGGGGUGGAAAACCGUUUUCGCUGAAGAGAAUGGUGGGGUGAGGGAAGGGGGAAAAGAGGCCCCGGCUAACUACGUG